rnacentral:rRNA from 1 species
CGCGGAUCAGCAUGCCGCGGUGAAUACGUUCCCGGGUCUUGUACACACCGCCCGUCACACCACGAGAGUUUACAACACCCGAAGUCGGUGGGGUAACCCUUACGGGAGCCAGCCGCCGAAGGUGGGGUAGAUGAUUGGGGUGAAGUCGUAACAAGGUAGCCGUAUCGGAAGGUGCGGCUGGAUCACCUCCUUU